CCUACGGGGGGCAGCAGUGAGGAAUAUUGGUCAAUGGGCGCGAGCCUGAACCAGCCAAGUAGCGUGAAGGAUGACUGCCCUACGGGUUGUAAACUUCUUUUAUAAAGGAAUAAAGUGAGGCACGUGUGCCGUGUUGUGUGUACUUUAUGAAAAAGGAUCGGCUAACUCCGUGCCAGCAGCCGCGGUACUACGGAGGAUCCGAGCGUUAUCCGGAUUUAUUGGGUUUAAGGGGAGCGUAGAUGGGUUGUUAAGUCAGUUGUGAAAGGUUGCGGGUCAACGGUAAAAUUGCAAUUGAUACUGGCAGUCUUGAGUACAGUAGAGGUAGGCGGAAUUCGUGGUGUAGCGGUGAAAUGCUUAGAUAUCACGAAGAACUACGAUUGCGAAGGCAGCUUACUAAACUGCCACUGACAUUGAGGCUCGAAAGUGUGGGUAUCAAACAGGAUUAGAUACCCUUGUAGUC
rnacentral:rRNA from 1 species